UACGGGGGGAGCAAGCGUUGUUCGGAUUUACUGGGCGUAAAGGGCGCGUAGGCGGCCACUGCAAGUCAGUUGUGAAAUCUCCGGGCUUAACCCGGAAAGGUCAACUGAUACUGCAGGGCUAGAGUGCAGAAGGGGCAACUGGAAUUCUCGGUGUAGCGGUGAAAUGCGUAGAUAUCUGGAGGAACACCGGUGGCGAAGGCGGCGUUCUGGGCAGUAACUGACGCUGAGGAGCGAAAGCGUGGGGAGCGAACAGG
rnacentral:rRNA from 1 species